GGUAGUAAAUUAAACCAAUAUGUAUUGGCGGUCUUUAUUUUCUAGAGAAACUCGCUUUAUAAUCGUAAUUACCCGAUAAAUUUAACUUUUUUUAUUAGUUUAUAUACCGCCGUUUAGAGUUAUAUCCUACCCAAACUCAUAACAUAAUUACAUAAAAAAUCAGGUCAAGGUGUAGCCCAUAAAAAAGAAAAAGUAAGUUACAUUAAAAAUAAUUUAAGAAUUACCCAUAAAAAUAAAUAUGAAAAAGAAUUUAGAAGUACGUUAUAAUUAAAAUUUAAAACCUAAAUAAAUAUUAAAGAUGC
rnacentral:rRNA from 1 species